AUGACACAGCCCUGGCUGACAAACUGGACUGCAACUUUGUGAGAAGCCCUGAGCUAGAAGAAAACUCAUCUGGAUUCUUGAGAUAUAAGAAGAAUUCCCAUGGCUUAAAGGAUGCAUUUUAUUACCACUCACAACCACCUAUUCAUUUGAACUUCUAUUUCCAACUGUGACCCAUUAAAGACAAAGGGGCUUACAAGAGUGAGAUCAAACCAUUGGAGCAUUUGAAGUGAAAAAAUGACAGAAUCUGACUCUCAGUAGCAGUGAUCACCAUGGAGAACAGUCCUG